rnacentral:rRNA from 1 species
UACGUAGGGUGCGAGCGUUGUCCGGAAUUAUUGGGCGUAAAGGGCUCGUAGGCGGUUUGUCGCGUCGGGAGUGAAAACCCAGGGCUUAACCCUGGGCUGGCUUCCGAUACGGGCAGACUAGAGGUAUGCAGGGGAGAACGGAAUUCCUGGUGUAGCGGUGAAAUGCGCAGAUAUCAGGAGGAACACCGGUGGCGAAGGCGGGUCUCUGGGCCGAUACUGACGCUGAGACGCGAAAGCGUGGGGAGCGAACAGG